rnacentral:rRNA from 1 species
UGCAGUCGAGCGGUAAGGCCCUUCGGGGUACACGAGCGGCGAACGGGUGAGUAACACGUGGGUGAUCUACCUUGCACUUCGGGAUAAGCCUGGGAAACUGGGUCUAAUACCGGAUAUGACCUGUGGUUGCAUGACUUCGGGUGGAAAGAUUUAUCGGUGCGAGAUGGGCCCGCGGCCUAUCAGCUUGUUGGUGAGGUAACGGCUCACCAAGGCGACGACGGGUAGCCGACCUGAGAGGGUGACCGGCCACACUGGGACUGAGACACGGCCCAGACUCCUACGGGAGGCAGCAGUGGGGAAUAUUGCACAAUGGGCGCAAGCCUGAUGCAGCGACGCCGCGUGCGGGAUGACGGCCUUCGGGUUGUAAACCGCUUUUGACAGGGACGAAGCGCAAGUGACUGUACCUGUAGAAUAAGGACCGGCCAACUACGUGCCAGCAGCCGCGGUAAUACGUAGGGUCCGAGCGUUGUCCGGAAUUACUGGGCGUAAAGAGCUUGUAGGCGGUUCGUCGCGUCGUUUGUGAAAACUUGGGGCUCAACCUUAAGCUUGCAGGCGAUACGGGCGGACUAGAGUACUUCAGGGGAGACUGGAAUUCCUGGUGUAGCGGUGAAAUGCGCAGAUAUCAGGAGGAACACCGGUGGCGAAGGCGGGUCUCUGGGAAGUAACUGACGCUGAGAAGCGAAAGCAUGGGUAGCAAACAGGAUUAGAUACCCUGGUAGUCCAUGCCGUAAACGGUGGGUACUAGGUGUGGGCUCCUUCCACGGACUCCGUGCCGUAGCUAACGC